GCUCAGAUUGAACGCUGGCGGCAGGCUUAACACAUGCAAGUCGAGCGGAAACGAUGAUAGCUUGCUAUCAGGCGUCGAGCGGCGGACGGGUGAGUAAUACUUAGGAAUCUACCUAGUAGUGGGGGAUAGCUCGGGGAAACUCGAAUUAAUACCGCAUACGUCCUACGGGAGAAAGCAGGGGAUCAUUAGACCUUGCGCUAUUAGAUGAGCCUAAGUCGGAUUAGCUAGAUGGUGGGGUAAAGGCCUACCAUGGCGACGAUCUGUAGCUGGUCUGAGAGGAUGAUCAGCCACACCGGGACUGAGACACGGCCCGGACUCCUACGGGAGGCAGCAGUGGGGAAUAUUGGACAAUGGGGGGAACCCUGAUCCAGCCAUGCCGCGUGUGUGAAGAAGGCCUUUUGGUUGUAAAGCACUUUAAGCAGUGAAGAAGACUCUUCGGUUAAUACCCGGGGACGAUGACAUUAGCUGCAGAAUAAGCACCGGCUAACUCUGUGCCAGCAGCCGCGGUAAUACAGAGGGUGCAAGCGUUAAUCGGAAUUACUGGGCGUAAAGCGAGCGUAGGUGGCUUGAUAAGUCAGAUGUGAAAUCCCCGGGCUUAACCUGGGAACUGCAUCUGAAACUGUUAGGCUAGAGUAGGUGAGAGGGAAGUAGAAUUUCAGGUGUAGCGGUGAAAUGCGUAGAGAUCUGAAGGAAUACCGAUGGCGAAGGCAGCUUCCUGGCAUCAUACUGACACUGAGGCUCGAAAGCGUGGGUAGCAAACAGGAUUAGAUACCCUGGUAGUCCACGCCGUAAACGAUGUCUACUAGUCGUUGGGUCCCUUGAGGACUUAGUGACGCAGCUAACGCAAUAAGUAGACCGCC
rnacentral:rRNA from 1 species